rnacentral:rRNA from 1 species
UACGUAGGGGGCAAGCGUUAUCCGGAAUUAUUGGGCGUAAAGAGCUCGUAGGCGGUUUGUCGCGUCUGCCGUGAAAGUCCGGGGCUCAACCCCGGACUUGCAGUGGGUACGGGCAGGCUAGAGUGUGGUAGGGGAGACUGGAAUUCCUGGUGUAGCGGUGAAAUGCGCAGAUAUCAGGAGGAACACCGAUGGCGAAGGCAGGUCUCUGGGCAUUAACUGACGCUGAGGAGCGAAAGCGUGGGGAGCGAACAGG